rnacentral:tmRNA from 1 species
GGGGUCGACUGGAAUUGACAGUAUGACAAAUUUUAUUUUUGCAUGUCGGGUGAAGGUAACAUCCGUAAUCAAAUGCUAAACUUUAUAAACGGCGAACGUAAAUACGAUUACGCUAUGGCAGUUUAAAUUCAAAGAAUUUAAAUGACCACAUCAUAGUUAAUUGGUGAUCUUCGAUUAAUUAAUAUGGUGUCAUAUGGAGAUCUACUGUAUGUUUUUUCUAUGGUUAUAUACAGGAAAUUUAGUAGAUAAGGAUAGAUGUUGGUUGAUAUUUUCCUGCUUUAUCUCGAAAAUUAAAAAUUAUCUAAGCAUGUAGACGGAAUAUUAUUUCCAUAGCUGGACGCGGGUUCGAAACCCGCCGACUCCACCA